rnacentral:rRNA from 1 species
GACGAACGCUGGCGGCGUGCUUAACACAUGCAAGUCGAACGGAAAGGCCCUGCUUUUGUGGGGUGCUCGAGUGGCGAACGGGUGAGUAACACGUGAGUAACCUGCCCUUGUCUUUGGGAUAACUUCAGGAAACUGGGGCUAAUACCGGAUAGGAGCUCCUGCUGCAUGGUGGGGGUUGGAAAGUUUCGGCGGUUGGGGAUGGACUCGCGGCUUAUCAGCUUGUUGGUGGGGUAGUGGCUUACCAAGGCUUUGACGGGUAGCCGGCCUGAGAGGGUGACCGGCCACAUUGGGACUGAGAUACGGCCCAGACUCCUACGGGAGGCAGCAGUGGGGAAUAUUGCACAAUGGGCGGAAGCCUGAUGCAGCAACGCCGCGUGCGGGAUGACGGCCUUCGGGUUGUAAACCGCUUUCGCCUGUGACGAAGCGUGAGUGACGGUAAUGGGUAGAGAAGCACCGGCUAACUACGUG